CCGUGAAAAAAUUAGAGUGUUCAAAGCAGGCAGAUCCAAUUUUCUGCCACCGAAUACAUUAGCAUGGGAUAAUGGAAUAGGACCCUGUCCUCCUAUUUUCAGUUGGUUUUGGCAGCGCGAGGACUAGGGUAAUGAUUAAUAGGGAUAGUUGGGGGCAUUAAUAUUUAAUUGUCAGAGGUGAAAUUCUUGGAUUUAUGAAAGAUUAACUUCUGCGAAAGCAUCUGCCAAGGAUGUUUUCAUUAAUCAAGAACGAAAGUUAGGGGAUCGAAGACGAUCAGAUACCGUCGUAGUCUUAACCAUAAACGAUGCCGACCAGCGAUUAGGAGACGUUGAAUACAAAACACCACCAUCGGCGCGGUCGUCCUUGGCGUUCGUGUUCACGCACGAGCGCGAGGGCGGUUUAGCCCGAUGGCACCGGUGAAUGACUCCCC
rnacentral:rRNA from 1 species